rnacentral:rRNA from 1 species
UACGUAGGGUGCGAGCGUUGUCCGGAAUUAUUGGGCGUAAAGAGCUCGUAGGCGGUCUGUCGCGUCGAUCGUGAAAACUUGGGGCUUAACCCUGAGCUUGCGGUCGAUACGGGCAUGACUGGAGUUCGGCAGGGGAGACUGGAAUUCCUGGUGUAGCGGUGAAAUGCGCAGAUAUCAGGAGGAACACCGGUGGCGAAGGCGGGUCCCUGGGCCGAUACUGACGCUGAGGAGCGAAAGCGUGGGGAGCGAACAGG